GUACGCUAUUCAGAGUUUGAUCCUGGCUCAGGACGAACGCUGGCGGCGUGCUUAACACAUGCAAGUCGAACGGAGUUAAUUCUUCGGAGUUAACUUAGUGGCGAACGGGUGAGUAACGCGUGAGGAACCUGCCUUUCAGUGGGGGACAACAGUUGGAAACGACUGCUAAUACCGCAUGAUACUCAGAAGGGACAUCCCUUUUGAGUCAAAGCUUUAUGUGCUGAAAGAUGGCCUCGCGUCUGAUUAGCUAGUUGGUGGGGUAACGGCCCACCAAGGCGACGAUCAGUAGCCGGACUGAGAGGUUGACCGGCCACAUUGGGACUGAGAUACGGCCCAG
rnacentral:rRNA from 1 species